UUUAUUUAAGGACAAUAAGAGACGUUUUUUACUGCCACAUGUUUGAUAUUUAUUGGUUUAAAAAAUAUGUUGUUUUUUUUAUUUUAUUUUCGUUUUAAGUAAAAAAAUGGAUUUCUUCUUCCUCUCAAAAUCGACGCUCUAGACAGUAUUCUCUGUAAAUUUGGGUUUGAUUUUCGCAGUUGCAGACUUUUGUGGUGUUUUCAAUCUGAACCAGACCUGUUCUUCAAAGUUUAAAGGAGUUCGCGGUGAAGAUUGAAGUUGUGAAAGGAUGGUGAUCGAGGAAGGAGUGCUCGAAUUGGUACAAGAUGUUUGAAGCUCAAUGUCACGAUGAAGACGAAGGAGAUGUGGUUAAGAGACCCCAAUAGGAUUGUACCAAUAUAGGAUAGAAAAUUACAUGUUUCCAAUUACGUCAAUUAUAUAAUAUUGGUUAAGAGACCCCAA